rnacentral:rRNA from 1 species
GAGUUUGAUCAUGGCUCAGAGUGAACGCUGGCGGCAGGCCUAACACAUGCAAGUCGAACGGCAGCGCAGCAGUAGCAAUACUGUGGGCGGCGAGUGGCGGACGGGUGAGGAAUACAUCGGAAUCUACCUUGUCGUGGGGGAUAACGUAGGGAAACUUACGCUAAUACCGCAUACGACCUACGGGUGAAAGCGGCGGACCGCAAGGCGUCGCGCGAUUGGAUGAGCCGAUGUCCGAUUAGCUAGUUGGCGGGGUAAGAGCCCACCAAGGCGACGAUCGGUAGCUGGUCUGAGAGGAUGAUCAGCCACACUGGAACUGAGACACGGUCCAGACUCUACGGGAGGCAGCAGUGGGAAUAUUGGACAAUGGGCGCAAGCCUGAUCCAGCCAUGCCGCGUGUGUGAAGAAGGCCUC